UGAGGAAUAUUGGACAAUGGGCGCAAGCCUGAUCCAGCCAUGCCGCGUGCAGGAUGACGGUCCUAUGGAUUGUAAACUGCUUUUGUACAGGAAGAAACAGUUCUACGUGUAGAACCUUGACGGUACUGUAAGAAUAAGGAUCGGCUAACUCCGUGCCAGCAGCCGCGGUAAUACGGAGGAUCCAAGCGUUAUCCGGAAUCAUUGGGUUUAAAGGGUCCGUAGGCGGUUAGAUAAGUCAGUGGUGAAAGCCCAUCGCUCAACGGUGGAACGGCCAUUGAUACUGUCUGACUUGAAUUAUUAGGAAGUAACUAGAAUAUGUAGUGUAGCGGUGAAAUGCUUAGAGAUUACAUGGAAUACCAAUUGCGAAGGCAGGUUACUACUAAUGGAUUGACGCUGAUGGACGAAAGCGUGGGUAGCAAACGGGAUUAGAUACCCAUGUAGUCCCUGAGCGGGCUGGCAAGGCGCAU
rnacentral:rRNA from 1 species